ACGCUCGACAGUGCCAGCAGCCGCGGUAAUACGAAGGGGGCUAGCGUUGCUCGGAAUCACUGGGCGUAAAGGGCGCGUAGGCGGCCGAUCAAGUCAGAGGUGAAAGCCCAAGGCUCAACCUUGGAAUUGCCUUUGAUACUGUUCGGCUAGAGACCGGAAGAGGUUAGUGGAACUGCGAGUGUAGAGGUGAAAUUCGUAGAUAUUCGCAAGAACACCAGUGGCGAAGGCGGCUAACUGGUCCGGUUCUGACGCUGAGGCGCGAACGCGUGGGGAGCAAACAGGAUUAGAUACCCUGGUAGUCCACGCCGUAAACGAUGGAUGCUAGCCGUUGGCCAGCUUGCUGGUCAGUGGCGCAGCUAACGCUUUAAGCAUCCCGCCUGGGGAGUACGGUCGCAAGAUUAAAACUCAAAGGAAUUGACGGG
rnacentral:rRNA from 1 species